rnacentral:lncRNA from 1 species
CGCCGGUGAUUGGAUGGUCACUCUACACUCUGAAGACCACUGGUUGCGGUUUACCUCCAGGACCGGCCGGUUCAAUCGGAGCGUUGGAAGGUGUGAGCUACUUGGUGGUGUUGGGCAUCGUGGGCUGGUCUCUGUACACCAAGACCAAAACCGGCUCGGGUCUGCCAAAUGGGCCGUUUGGUUUGUUGGGCGCGGUCGAGGGCUUGUCUUACCUGUCGCUUCUAGCCAUUCUUGUGGUAUUCGGUUUACAGUUUUUGGAUAACGGGUUGGUUCCUGGUCCACUUCCAAGUGACCAGUGUUUUGGCUAACCAAUCACUCUAUCAUCAUUCUUCACUUGUAAUGUCUUUUUGCUGGUCCAUUUCCAAGUGACCAGUGUUUUGGCUAACCAAUCACUCUAUCAUCAUUCUUCACUUGUAAUGUCUUUUUGCUGGUCCAUUUCCAAGUGACCAGUGUUUUGGCUAACCAAUCACUCUAUCAUCAUUCUUCACUUGUAAUGUCCUAUACCAAACCUGUGUCAAUUAAUAAUAACUUUCUAUCAAUCACAUAAUUUUUUCUAGAAAAAUAGCAGAAAUUAUAGAUGAUAUUCAAUUUCUUAUAGAUGAAGCGAUGUAAAAUAUCUCGUUUUUUACUAGUCGAUUAAUUUCUUACAAACCAAACUGAACCGAGAUCUGGUCUAAUCUAAACAUCUAAUUCUAGUUAAUGCUUAUUGGGUUGACGGCAAAUGGCGGAGCAGAUCCAAAGUUGCCAAGAUGGGCUUCUAUAUUGGCCCAUUUAGAUGGCAAAGUAAAUUUAAAAGCGCGGGAAAAUGAUAAAAGCUUUUCUCUCUCUCUUUAGUCCCCCACUCUCUUUCCUGCAUCCACGAAGCUCCACCUGCGAGAAACCCUAAUUUAUUCUCAGAACGAGAUCGCCUUCGAAGCUUCUCCCGUGGCAAGAAAGCUCCAAAUUAGGAGUCUCCGUGUCUCGUAAUUUACUAAUCGCCGCUCCUCAGGCAAAAAAAUGAGCGGAGAUAAUCGAAGAUGGGAUCGAAAGGACUCGCGGAGAUCGAAUACGCAGAAAGUCGUGAAAACGGCGGAAGAUGAGCUCGAAUCUAAACUCGGAUUUGGGCUUUUCUCCGAAGGGGAAACGCGCCUCGGGUGGCUACUCACCUUCGCAUCAGUAAGUCUCCGUCGCACUCUUUUACGAACUCAAUUUGGUUAUCGAGCGUAUGGCCUUUGAUCGUAUUAGUACUAGUCAUUCACCGAUUGGUUGUUCCACUACGUUUUGCAGUCAUCUUGGGAAGAUCCCGAUACUGGGAAAACCUAUAGCUGUGUGGAUCUUUACUUUGUUACUCAGGUGAGAGCUGUUUUUAGUCAUUACUCUAUUAGCUUCGUAUAAGCUGAUGAAUCUUCUUUUGUCGCAUUUUUUUUUAUCUAUUUCGAUUGAGUUGUGAGGAUUUGUUUUUUUUUUUUUUUCAGGACGGGUUUUAUUUCAAGACAAAGUACAAGUUCCGCCCUUACUUCUAUGCGGCUACGAAAGUAUGAAGAUUUCUCUUUGUAUAUCAUCUGAAUGCUCCUUGAACCAGUCACGUAGUUUUGUUCUGGAUGUUAAUAAAACUGCAUUUGCGAAAUUACAGGAGAAAAUGGAAUUGGAAGUUGAAGCGUACUUGAGACGGCGAUAUGAAAGACAAGUUGCUGAUAUUGAGAUUGUUGAAAAAGAGGAUCUUGAUCUUGUAAGUCCGUAAAUCCUUACUUGUUAAUGUGAUUUAGUUAGUCUACCUAAUGAUUCGUAUUUCUCUUUAGAGACGCAUAUUUAAACAAAAGUUGCUGCAAUCUUUAGUUUUUAUCCUCUUCUUGUAACUUGAAAAGUGAAAACUGAGUAAGUAUCGUGAUAAGUUUAAAUGUGAUCCUGCAUUCAUAUUCGGAAAUCUCUAGGUGUUUGCGAGUAUGUAACGUGGGCUGGAACUGUUAAUGUUAGUUAUUUUAAAUGUUUAAUGAUCAGUUACAACAGUAUGCAAGAUAUGAAGGUUUUCAUGACUUCUAUAUAGUCUUCCUUCCGCUUAGUUUGUCUUUCUAACUUUUGUUUAUUACCUACCAAUUCGAGUUUAUUUUUUCUUAUGCUCAUGAGCAGAAAAAUCAUCUAUCUGGCCUGCGAAAGAAAUACCUAAAAGUAUCAUUUGAUACUGUGCAACAAUUGAUGGAAGUCAAGAGGGAUCUGUCGCAUAUUGUCGAACGAAACCAGGCAAAAUUCGACGCACUUGAAGCAUACGAAUCCGUUUUGGCUGGAAAACGGUAAGACGAUGUAUUUUUGUUGUUUUAAACUGCGUAUCUUUCCGAGGUUUCAAAUUGUUCCUCUUGAUCUCUCUUGUUUCUUAGUUAUUCUCAAGUUUCAGAUACCGGUGGUCACUUUUCUUUUUAUUCUUGGAAUGCAGAGAACAACGUCUUCAAGAUUGCUUAGACUCUUUAGUGGACCUCCGCGAGUACGAUGUUCCUUAUCAUGUUCGAUUUGCAGUUGAUAAAGGUAACAUAUUUAGUCAAAAUUAAAUUUCUGUUAGUCCUAAAGAUUGCCAAAACAUGACGUGUUCUUGGUGUCUAGAUGUGCGGAGUGGGCAAUGGUACAAUGUCAGUAUUUCCAGCACUGAUGUCACACUAGAGAAGAGGACAGAUAUUCUCCAGCGUGCAGAAGUCCGUGUUUGUGCAUUCGAUAUAGAGACAACGAAGCUUGAGUUGAAAUUUCCGGAUGCUGAAUAUGAUCAAAUUAUGAUGAUAUCUUACAUGGUCGAUGGGCAAGGUUUUCUAAUUGUUAACCGAGAGGUAAAUGCUAUGUACAUUUUUCUGUAUUGAAUAUAAUUUAAUAGAUGAUAAUAUCAUAUAUGAUGUAUGAGCAUGAUCUCCAAAUCAUUAAAAGAGAUGAUAGCCCUCUUUAUCAUCUUUUAUAUUAUGUCAAGCAAUCAGUAGAGGAAAAGUUCAUAAACGCAGUGUUUCUUUAGAGAUUGAGUCAAUCCUGGGGAUAUCAUAAAUGAUCCAUAUAAACUUAUACUGCUUUGCCUGACUGAUUUUGGAUGAUGUGGCAUAAAGAUUGUUUGUGGUCUACUGUAGCCUUUUCGUAUGUUUAUGAAACAUGAUUUCUGAUUUGUUAUAAAAAUUUCGUUGCAUGUCAUUGUCAACUCUGGUUGAUAUCUCAGCUCUAUUUUACUAUAAAAAUUUGGACUACUCCAAUCUUCUUUGAUUACACACGUAGUAUUUUUCAUUUUAAACCAGUGUGUUGGCGAAGACAUAGAAGAUCUGGAGUAUACACCCAAACCAGAGUUUGAAGGAUAUUUCAAAGUCACUAACGUUAGCAACGAGGUAAAUUAGGUCUGAUUUGAGUAUUAUAUCAGAAACAUUGAUAUACUUAGAAUCAAGUUUCUUUCUUGGUUUUGUAUUGUAGGUUGAUCUCCUUCGAAAAUGGUUUUCCCAUAUGCAAGAGGUUAAACCCGGUAUUUAUGUUACAUAUAACGGUGAUUUUUUCGACUGGCCAUUUAUAGAACGGAGAGCAUCCCAUCAUGAGAUCAAAAUGAAUGAGGUAAGCAACACGUUUCCUUCAAUGUGGUAUUGUUAAAAUUUCAUGCCUGCGUGACUUAAAGGAAGUAUAUGAUAUACUUAGAAAUUCUGUUUGAAAAAGUUUGUGGCAGUUUUGCUGACAUGCUAUUGUGACCUUGCGAGUGUUCUUUUGCUUAAUGAUAGAACAGUAUCACUGCUUAAGAUCUUCCUACAUCCUCGCUUGCAUGCCUACUUUCUACAUAUUGUUUGUCACCUUCCGUGAAUAUAAUAUUCAUCUUGAGUGACAUGUUUUUGCGUUUAAACACUGAAGUCUUCUGGGAGUUGGCAGGUGCCACUCAUCCUGAACCUUGGUUCUGUUCUGAACUCUAUUUCAAAAACACGCGUCACUCUUUUUUCUCUCUUUUUAUUCUCUGCAUCUUACUAUUUAGUUCCUAUCUCACUAUUUAGUUCCUAUCUUAACUUUAGAGCAUAAUGUGGCCUCAAGUAUGAUUCCACAAUUGACUGGUAUAUUUUGUUUUCUUUCCCCAUGGUUGCAGGAGUUGGGAUUCCGUUGUGAUCAUAAUCAAGGUGAAUGUCGAGCUAAAUUCGUUUGCCAUUUAGAUUGUUUUGCUUGGGUGAAACGGGAUAGCUAUCUUCCUCAGGGAAGCCAUGGUCUGAAGGUUCAUUUGACUUCUCUCUCUUCGCUAUUGUUUAUCCUUUUCUUAUAUGUCCCUUUUUAGAGGAAUUCAUAUUAUGUUUUUAGUAAUGUUCGUCUCUUAAUUAAAUGCCAGGCCGUUACGAAGGCGAAACUGGGCUAUGAUCCACUGGAAGUGAACCCAGAAGACAUGGUUCAGUUUGCCAUGGAAAAACCACAGGUACUGCUGAUAAGUUAAUCAGGGUUCUCAAGAACUGGAGUAGUAGUUUGAUUGCUUUGGAAUGGGGUAGAGUACGACGGUAUUUGAUCUAGUAAUUAGUGUCUCUUUAAGGGCUGAAGAAAUGUUCUCCUGCUCCUGUUAAACACUAUCUCUUAUCAGUACGCAAAAUUUAGGAGCGAACAUGGAUGUUGUGACUGAUAACUUCCAGCAAUUGUGGACUUUUAGUCUAUGCAGUGCUUGCGUGGAAUUGGGUGCUUAUAUCUUAUUUCUGUUACAUGUUGCAGACAAUGGCCUCCUAUUCUGUCUCUGAUGCUGUUGCAACUUAUUACCUAUACAUGACAUAUGUUCACCCGUUCAUUUUCUCUCUCGCAACUAUCAUCCCUAUGGUCCCUGAUGAGGUCUUACGUAAAGGAAGUGGAACCCUUUGUGAAAUGCUUCUGAUGGUUGAGGUGACUUCCAUUUACUACAAGGUCUUUAGCAAUUUUUGAUGUAUGACACAUUCUAGUAAUUGGACGUCUUCCAUUCUUUGUACAGGCGUAUAACGCAAAUGUUAUAUGUCCCAAUAAAAACCAAGCUGACCCUGAGAAGUUCCACAAAAGUCACCUUCUUGAAAGUGAGACAUAUAUUGGUGGCCAUGUAGAGUGCCUCGAAAGUGGUGUUUUCCGAUCUGACAUUCCAACCGGUUUUAAGCUAGACACAUCGGCAUACCAGGCUAGUAAUCUGCUUUACUUGACUCAAUAUGAUUUUUCUUGUUGUUUUCUGAACAUUACUUCUUCUGAUAUGGUUCUGUUCAAAUGUCACUUAUUUAUGCACCUAUCUGAUAUUGGACCAUUUAAUUGCCAGCAACUGAUCAAUAACCUUGACCGGGAUCUGGAGUAUGCUAUCACUGUAGAAGGGAAAAUGAGAAUGGAUUCAGUUUCCAAUUAUGAUGAAGUGAAGGAAAAAAUCAAGGAAAAGGUAAUAGAUUCCUCUUCUGAAUUAUAGAUAGUGAUUUGACGCCUAUUCCAUAUUCCCUUGUUUCUUGUCAGCGUGUGUUUUCUCUUGUCUCUUUGAAUGGCUGACACUGCAUACACAUUUCAUUCUGGGAGAGUUUUCCUUUGCAUUCUCAUACAUGCUAAGCUCAUAUCGACGAUCCUUCUCUCGUGUAAAGUAACCCCAAUAGUUCUUCUGGAAAGAACAAAGUUAACCUGCGGAGAUAGUCCAUCAAAUACCCUCCAUUUACAGUAGUUGUCACCAACUACGCACAUACAUGCGUGGGUUUCGGAAAGCAGAACAUAAAACCUGAUAAUUUAAUACAUUAUUUCCCUGUACUACCUGAUUUGGGAUGUCCUCUUAGUUCUGUUAUGAUUUGGCGGUUUUAUUUCCCUGCAGCUGGAAAAGUUACGAGAUUGCCCUAUACGUGAAGAGGGACCUCUUAUUUAUCACCUUGAUGUUGCAGCGAUGUAUCCAAAUAUCAUCUUAACAAAUAGGCUUCAGGUACAUCAAAUAACCUUUUGCAUGUUUCUAACUGAUUUCUUGAUUUUAUGAUGUAACAUGCAUUGUAAAUCAAUAUCUACCAAAUUAACACAACCGUCACUGUCAAGAUUAUGAAUCCCGUGGGAAUAUUAUGCUAAGUGGAAAUUUCCUCUUCAUUGCCAGCCACCAUCAAUAGUUACGAAUGAAAUUUGCACCGCAUGUGAUUUCAACCGCCCGGGAAAAACGUGUCUUCGAAAACUUGAAUGGGUUUGGCGUGGGGUGACAUUCAUGGCAAAGAAAAGGUUUUAACUUAUAUAUCAUUCUUUUUAAAUAUGAAGGGUCUAGUCUUAAAUUCUCAACUUUUUACGAAUGGCUUGACAGUGAUUAUUACCAUCUGAAGAAGCAGAUUGAGUCCGAAUUUGUUGAUACUGGUGCAAAUAUUCAGUCUUCAAAAUCUUUCCUUGAUCUACCAAAGGUGGAACAACAAUCUAAACUAAAAGAUAGACUGAAAAAAUAUUGUCAAAAGGUAUUCUCUCUCUUUCUCUUGAUAAUAUUUUCUCCACAAUGUCAAUAUAUAAAGGCAAGUCGUUUUGUGCUAUGAUAGGCAUAUCGACGAGUACUUGACAAGCCAGACACUGAAGUUCGUGAGGCUGGGAUAUGCAUGAGAGAAAAUCCGUUUUAUGUAGACACUGUUCGAAGGUGCGGAACUUUUGUUUUCCCCAAUCCUGUUCUUGAUUGAAACUCUGUUAGGACUAGCUUGUCUUUUUGAGCAGCAAUCUUUUUGGUUGAAUAGACAAUGAUGUAAAUUCUGCCAAGUCCUAAAUACUUUUCCUUGUUGCUUUUUGUUUAUGGUGUUUGUAUGUAAUUAAAGCUUUCGAGAUAGGAGGUAUGAAUACAAAACACUUAACAAGGUCUGGAAGGGAAAGUUAUCAGAGGCCAAGGCAAGUGGCAAUUCAAUCAAGAUCCAGGAAGCACAGGUAUAUUAUCUUACAUAAUUGAUCAUAUAUAUCAUCUCCGGAAGUUCCUUUGGAUAGUUAUUGGCUUUAAAAUUUUGCUACAGGACAUGGUAGUGGUUUACGAUUCCUUGCAGCUAGCUCAUAAGUGUAUUCUUAAUUCCUUCUAUGGAUAUGUCAUGCGAAAGUGAGUUCUCUGAUCUCUUGCAAAGAGCUUGCACUUUGGCUAUACCCUUAUUGUCUGUUCCAUUUUGGUUGACCCAAAUCUCUACAUGAAACCAAUUCCAGGGGUGCAAGAUGGUACUCUAUGGAAAUGGCUGGUGUAGUUACCUAUUCUGGAGCCAAAAUCAUCCAGAAUGCCCGUUUGCUUAUUGAGCGUAUUGGGAGACCACUUGAGUUGGAUACAGAUGGUAUAUGGUGUGCUCUCCCUGGAUCUUUUCCUGAGAACUUUACUUUUAAGACGAUGUAAGAUUUUGCAAUCUCCAUAUCAGGAACUUGUUCUAUUUUUUUUUACUUUAUAGCAGUAUUUUGGUGGUUUACGAUAUUCCAAAGAGAGUUAUAUAUCAGUGAUUUUUGUCUACUGCAGAGACAUGAAGAAAUUCACGAUCUCUUAUCCGUGUGUAAUGCUUAAUGUUGAUGUGGCUAAAAAUAAUACAAAUGAUCAAUAUCAGGUAUACCGGAGCUGCCCUUACUGAAAAGUAGCUUUUGUGUUCAGUCUUAACUUAGUUUGUCUUUCUAACUUUUGUUUAUUACCUACCAAUUCGAGUUUAUUUUUUCUUAUGCUCAUGAGCAGAAAAAUCAUCUAUCUGGCCUGCGAAAGAAAUACCUAAAAGUAUCAUUUGAUACUGUGCAACAAUUGAUGGAAGUCAAAAGGGAUCUGUCGCAUGUUGUCGAACGAAACCAGGCAAAAUUUGACGCACUUGAAGCAUAUGAAUCCAUUUUGGCUGGAAAACGGUAAGACGAUGUAUUUUUGUUGUUUUAAACUGCGUAUGUUUCCGAGGUUUCAAAUUGUUCCUCUUGAUCUCUCUUGUUUUUUAGUUAUUCUCAAGUUUCAGGUACCGGUGCUCACUUUUCUUUUUAUUCUUGGAAUGCAGAGAACAACGUCUUCAAGAUUGCUUAGACUCUUUAGUGGACCUCCGCGAGUACGAUGUUCCUUAUCAUGUUCGAUUUGCAGUUGAUAAAGGUAACAUAUUUAGUCAAAAUUAAAUUUUUGUUAGUCCUAAAGAUUGUCAAAACAUGACGUUUUCUUGGUGUCUAGAUGUGCGGAGUGGGCAAUGGUACAAUGUCAGUAUUUCCAGCACUGAUGUCACACUAGAGAAGAGGACAGAUAUUCUCCAGCGUGCAGAAGUCCGUGUUUGUGCAUUCGAUAUAGAGACAACAAAGCUUGAGUUGAAAUUUCCGGAUGCUGAAUAUGAUCAAAUUAUGAUGAUAUCUUACAUGGUCGAUGGGCAAGGUUUUCUAAUUGUUAACAGAGAGGUAAUACUAUGUACAUUUUUCUGUAUUGAAUAUGAUUUAAUAGAUGAUAAUAUCAUACAUGAUGUAUGAGCAUGAUCUCCAAAUCAUUAAAAGAGAUGAUAGCCCUGCUUUAUCAUCUUUUAGAUUAUGUCAAGCAAUCAGUUGAGGAAAAGCUCAUAAAUGCAGUGUUUCUUUAAAGAUUAAGUCAAUCCUGGGGAUAUCAUAAAUGAUCCAUAUAAACUUAUACUGCUUUGCCUGACUGAUUUUGUAUGAUGUGGCAUAAAGAUUGUUUGUGGUCUACUGUAGCCUUUUUCUGUAUGUUUAUAAAACAUGAUUUCUGAUUUGUUAUAAAUAUUUCAUUGCAUGUCAUUGUCAACUCUGGUUGAUAUCUCAGCUCUAUUUCCGUAUAAAAAUUUGGACUACUUCAAUCUUCUUUGAUUACACGUAGUAUUUUUCAUUUUAAACCAGUGUGUUGGCGAAGACAUAGAAGAUCUGGAGUAUACACCCAAACCAGAGUUUGAAGGAUAUUUCAACGUUACUAACGUUAGCAACGAGGUAAAUUAAGUCUGGAUUUGAGUAAUAUAUCAGAAACAUUGAUGUACAAGAAUCAAGCUUCUUUCUUGGUUUUGUAUUGUAGGUUGAACUCCUUCGAAAAUGGUUUUCCCAUAUGCAAGAGGUUAAACCCGGUAUUUAUGUUACAUAUAACGGUGAUUUUUUCGACUGGCCAUUCAUAGAACGCAGAGCAUCCCAUCAUGAGAUCAAAAUGAAUGAGGUAAGCAACACGUUUCCUUCAUUGUGGUAUCGUUAAAAUUUCAUGUCUGCGUGACAUUAAGGAAGUAUAUGAUAUACUUAUUGAAAUUCUGUUUGAAAAAGUUUGUGACAGUUUUGCUGACAUGCUAUUGUGACCUUGCGAGUGUUCUUUUGCUUAAUGAUAGAACAGUAUCACUGCUUAAGAUCUUCCUACAUCCUCGCCUGCAUGCCUAUUUUCUACAUAUUGUUUGUCAUCUUCCGUGAAUAUAAUAUUCAUCUUGAGUGACAUGUUUUUGCGUUUAAACACUGAAGUCUUCUGAGAGUUGGCAGGUGCCACUCAUCCUGAACCUUGGUUCUUUUCUGAACUCUAUUUCAAAAACAUGCAUCACUCUUUUUUCUCUCUUUUUAUUCUCUGCAUCUUACUAUUUGGUUUCUAUCUUAUUCUUAACUUUGACUGGUAUAUUUUGUUUUCUUUCCCCAUGGUUUCAGGAGUUGGGAUUCCGUUGUGAUCAUAAUCAAGGUGAAUGUCGAGCUAAAUUCGUUUGCCAUUUAGAUUGUUUUGCUUGGGUGAAACGGGAUAGCUAUCUUCCUCAGGGAAGCCAUGGUCUGAAGGUUCAUUUGACUUCUCUCUCUUCGCUAUUGUUUAUCCUUUUCUUAUAUGUCCCUUUUUAGAGGAAUUCAUAUUAUGUUUUGAGUAAUGCUCGUCUCUUAAUUGAAUGCCAGGCCGUUACAAAGGCGAAACUGGGCUAUGAUCCACUGGAAGUGAACCCAGAAGACAUGGUUCAGUUUGCCAUGGAAAAACCACAGGUACUGCUGAUAAAUUAAUCAGGGUUCUUAAGAACUGGAGUAGUAGUUUGAUUGCUUUGGAAUAGGGUAGAGUAUGACGAUAUUUGUUCUAGUAAUUAGUGUCUCUUUAAGGGAUGAAGAAAUGUUCUCCUGCUCCUGUUAAACACUAUCUCUUAUCAGUACGCAAAAUUUAGGAGCGAACAUGGAUGUUGUGACUGAUAACUUCCAGCAAUUGUGGACUUUUAGUCUAUGCAGUGCUUGCGUGGAAUUGGGUGCUUAUAUCUUAUUUCUGUUACAUGUUGCAGACAAUGGCCUCCUAUUCUGUCUCUGAUGCUGUUGCAACUUAUUACCUAUACAUGACAUAUGUUCACCCGUUCAUUUUCUCUCUCGCAACUAUCAUCCCAAUGGUCCCUGAUGAGGUCUUACGUAAAGGAAGUGGAACCCUUUGUGAAAUGCUUCUGAUGGUUGAGGUGACUUACAUUUACUACAAGGUCUUUAGCAAUCUGAUAAUUGGUUAAUGGUUUGCUUAGGAUUUCGUAACGUGCGAUGCAUUUUAGAUCAAACGGUCGUCAAGGCGUCAAGGCUUGUUAAAAAGCUUAUCCAGAAGUUUUGUUAUUUCCACACCAUACCAAAAUUUUGUGGUAACGAGUGACAAUAUUUCUCUCACUUCUCUCUCCUAAAAUGCUUCUACUAUCUCCGAUCAACGCCUCUCGACCACCGACGUUUCACCGGGGAACACUGAUCCGACAACCCAUUAAGACUUCAUGUAGGAUCAUAGCAAAGGCCAAGGACAACACCGAGUCUGGCGGGUUUCUUGAGAAUGCGGCUAUAGCCGGUGGUUUAGUAUCUACGCCGGUGAUUGGAUGGUCACUCUACACUCUGAAGACCACUGGUUGCGGUUUACCUCCAGGACCGGCCGGUUCAAUCGGAGCGUUGGAAGGUGUGAGCUACUUGGUGGUGUUGGGCAUCGUGGGCUGGUCUCUGUACACCAAGAUCAAAACCGGGUCGGGUCUGCCGAAUGGGCCGUUUGGUUUGCUUGGUGCGGUCGAGGGCUUGUCUUACCUGUCGCUUCUAGCCAUUCUUGUGGUGUUCGGUUUACAGUUCUUGGAUAACGGGUCUGUUCCUGGUCCACUUCCAAGUGACCAGUGUUUUGGCUAACCAAUCACUCUAUCAUCAUUCUUCACUUG